rnacentral:rRNA from 1 species
GAAUUCACUAGUGAUUCAGGCCUAACACAUGCAAGUCGAGCGGUAGAGAGAAGCUUACUUCUCUUGAGAGCGGCGGACGGGUGAGUAAUGCCUAGGAAUCUGCCUGGUAGUGGGGGAUAACGUUCGGAAACGGACGCUAAUACCGCAUACGUCCUACGGGAGAAAGCAGGGGACCUUCGGGCCUUGCGCUAUCAGAUGAGCCUAGGUCGGAUUAGCUAGUUGGUGAGGUAAUGGCUCACCAAGGCGACGAUCCGUAACUGGUCUGAGAGGAUGAUCAGUCACACUGGAACUGAGACACGGUCCAGACUCCUACGGGAGGCAGCAGGGGGGAAUAU